rnacentral:rRNA from 1 species
CCUACGGGGGGCAGCAGUGGGGAAUAUUGGACAAUGGGGGCAACCCUGAUCCAGCCAUGCCGCGUGUGUGAAGAAGGCCCUCGGGUUGUAAAGCACUUUCAGUGAGGAAGAACGCCUGGUGGUUAAUACCCAUCAGGAAAGACAUCACUCACAGAGGAAGCACCGGCUAACUCCGUGCCAGCAGCCGCGGUAAUACGGAGGGUGCGAGCGUUAAUCGGAAUUACUGGGCGUAAAGCGCGCGUAGGUGGCUUGAUAAGCCGGUUGUGAAAGCCCCGGGCUCAACCUGGGAACGGCAUCCGGAACUGUCAAGCUAGAGUGCAGGAGAGGAAGGUAGAAUUCCCGGUGUAGCGGUGAAAUGCGUAGAGAUCGGGAGGAAUACCAGUGGCGAAGGCGGCCUUCUGGACUGACACUGACACUGAGGUGCGAAAGCGUGGGUAGCAAACAGGAUUAGAUACCCUUGUAGUC